rnacentral:tRNA from 1 species
GGGCCCGUAGUUCAGCUGGCUAGAACGCCUCAUUUGCAAUGAGGAAAUCACCGGUUCGAAUCCGGUCGGGUCCA